rnacentral:lncRNA from 1 species
GGGUGAACGAACCCAACGUUAUGCUGGCCCACAGUGAGGACUGGACCCUGGAUCAUCAACGAGAGUGAGACGAACAAGAAGCGACUAGCGAACAGCAGCGGCCACAUCCUGCGAUUGGAACGAAGAGUUACGCAAAGAAAAAUAACGAGCUGCUUCGAUGCUGUGCUGGGGUAUCACUGUCUGGAUGAGUUAAGAGUUCCAGGAUGAUUUAUAUAGCCAGGCCCUUCACUUUUCAAGGUUGGAACAUAAUCAAAAUUGAAAACUUUCUCACUUGUUUGAUGUACAAAGACGACUGUUCAAAUAUUGAUCUCGAUGAACCGACGAUAUUUUCGUUGGAAUUAUCCAUCUCGCAAUAUGGAAAAUGGUUGAAACGAACAAACAUAGCAUCGUGCCUCUAUUUGAACGAGAGCGGAAUUGUGUGGUGAAAAAGACCUUGGUUUAUAGGUCAAAGAAAUUUCAGUUUAGACUAAUUUCAAAAGCAAACAUUGACAAGACUUGAAUCGUGAACGAACCGCCAACUGUUUCUCUCAUAUUUCUCGCGUUAAUAUUCACGUAGACGUUUUAAUAAAUGAUAAUUUCGGUUCAGAUUUUUUUCGUAUUUCAAGUAACCUGCUUUUUAAAAUGCAUUAUACUUCUUUAAUAGCUUCUAUUGUCUUGUGCUUCUCUCUCUCAGUAAGGUUAACAAUGACU